rnacentral:ribozyme from 11 species
GGGUAGAAGGAAGGAAAGAUAAAAAAUAAAGAAAGAAAAAGGCAUGCGCACAACAAGAUUGCUCUGGGUUUCGACGCAGUCGUGUGAUGCCUUUCACCCCUUUAUCCCUUUUACCUUCCCACCUUUCCUUUCCCC